rnacentral:rRNA from 1 species
AAAGCUCCCUUCGGGGAGUGUAUAGAGUGGCGCACGGGUGAGUAACACGUAAGUAAUCUACCUUUGAGUGGGGAAUAACAGUCGGAAACGACUGCUAAUACCGCAUAAUGCAGCGGCACCGCAAGGUGACAGUUGUUAAAGGAGCAAUUCGCUUGAAGAGGAGCUUGCGGCAGAUUAGCUUGUUGGUAAGGUAACGGCUUACCAAGGCUACGAUCUGUAUCCGGUCUAAGAGGACGGUCGGACACACUGACACUGAAUAACGGGUCAGACUCCUACGGGAGGCAGCAGUCGGGAAUUUUGGGCAAUGGGCGAAAGCCUGACCCAGCAACGCCGCGUGAAGGAUGAAGUAUUUCGGUAUGUAAACUUCGAAAGAAUAGGAAGAAUAAAUGACGGUACUAUUUAUAAGGUCCGGCUAACUACGUGCCAGCAGCCGCGGUAAUACGUAGGGACCAAGCGUUGUUCGGAUUUACUGGGCGUAAAGGGCGCGUAGGCGGCGCUGUAAGUCACUUGUGAAAUCUCCGGGCUUAACUCGGAACGGUCAAGUGAUACUGCAGUGCUAGAGUGCGGAAGGGGCAAUCGGAAUUCUUGGUGUAGCGGUGAAAUGCGUAGAUAUCAAGAGGAACACCUGAGGUGAAGACGGGUUGCUGGGCCGACACUGACGCUGACAGCGCGAAAGCCAGGGGAGCAAACGGGAUUAGAUACCCCGGUAGUCCUGGCCCUAAACGAUGAAUACUUGGUGUCUGGAGUCUUAAUGCUCCGGGUGCCGUCGCUAACGUUUUUAGUAUUCCGCCUGGGGAGUACGCUCGCAAGAGUGAAACUC